CGUUGGCCUCGUGUGGGGCGCAGCGCUGUGUGCGGAUCAGAGCCACAAUGCUGUGUGUCCCACAGCUCCCGGAGCUGCUGCUGCUGGCGGCCCUCACUGCCACCGCCCGGGGACAGACUCCCCGCACCCAGGAUGGAGUGCUGUCCCCUGCGGGACUGGGGUCUCCUGGUGCUGUCACCGUUGUCCUCGACCCCAUCCAUGUCCCCGUUGCGGCCCCUGACCUCACUCCUGUCCCUGUCCUCACCCCAUUCCCAUCCCCGUCCCCAUCCCCCUCGAUGUCCCUUAUCCCCAUCCCCCGUCCUGUCCCCAUUGCUGUCCCUAUUGCCAUCACCAUCCAUCCCCAUUGCUGUCCCCAUUGUCAUCCCUAUCCCAAACUCCUGCCCCCAUCCCUAUCCCUGUCCCCAUCCGUGCCCCCAUCCCUACUGCUCUCCCUUUCCCCACUGCUGUCUCUGACCCCUUCCCUACCCCCGUUCCCAUUCCCUGUUCCUACACCUGUCCCCGUCCCCAUCCCACUCUCCAUCCCCUUCUCCUGUCCCAAUCCCUAUCGUUGUCCACACUCCAUUCCUGUCCCAUUCCCAUCCCCAUUCCCAUCCCUGUCCCAUUCCCACCCCCAUCCCUGACCCCAUCCCUGUUCCCUGACCCCCAUCCCCAUCCCCAUCCCCAUCCCCAUCGUUUGUUCCCAUCCCCACCGCCGCCCCCCCCCCAUCCCUCAACUCACCGCUGUCCCCACUGCCGCUGCUGCCCACCCCACGUCCGUCCCCCUUCCCUUCCGUCCCCAUCCGCACCCACACCCCCACUCGUGUCCCCGCUGUCCCGCAGCCGUGGGCUCCCAGCAGCUGCAGCCGUGGCUGAUCGGUCUCACGGCGGUGGUGGUUUUCCUAUUCGUGGUGUUUGUGCUGCUGCUCGUGGGGCGGCUUUGGCGGCUGCGGACGCGCAGAGAACACGAGGACUCCUCGGAGCAGCAACCCGCCCACAGCAUGGAGCGCGCAGCGUACAGCAACGCCGCGGCCGAGAAGGACAGCGACGACGAACGGGAGAAGAGCAAAGCCACGUCGCUGUGACACGCGUGGGCUGCCCGGGCCCGGCGGUUCCGCGCCGCGUUUUGCGGAGCGCUCCUCGGCCGGCGGCAAAACCCGGAGCGGAUCGCAGCGGGAUGGAGCGGAGCGCCGCCCCGGCACCGCGCGUGGGAGCUGCGAG
ensembl:lncRNA